GUGACUAAGAGAAUUUUUUUUCUGGUUAUCACUAUUUUCAGAAAUCUAUUAACCAAAGAGUCUGGAACAGCCAGUCAUAAAGUACUGAAGACCACAUUCACCAACACCAUAUUUGAGGAUAGAACUCAGACCAGUUUUGACUCGAAAUUGGACGUGUAAGGACACAUUCUUGAAUUCAGGCAUUCCAAGGAAUCCAAAUCCUUUCUGCAUCUUUCCUUAACACUAAGUGGGAAAAUGCAUUCAGAGACAGAUGGGCUUCUCUAUCAACACGGACUUUUUAUCUCAUCUCAGCUGCAAGCUGUUCAACCCACUUUCCAUUCUCACUAUACUUCCUCCUUGCCACCACAGAAUGGCCUGGGUUGAAAAGGACCACAGUGAUCAUCCAGUUUCUGCUCUGCUAUGUGCAUGGUCGCCAACCACCAGACCAGGCUGUCUGGAGCCACAUCCAGCCUGGUCUUGAAUGCCUUCAGGUAUAGGGCACUCACAACCUACUUGGGCAACUCGUUCCGGAGUGUCACCACCCUCUGAGUGAAAAAACUUCCUCCUAAUAUUGAACCUAAACCUCCCCUGCCUCAGUUUAAAACCAUUUCCCUUGUCCUGUCACUAUCUACCCUCAUAAACAGCCAUUCCCCAUCCUGUUUAUACGCUCCUUUCAAAUAUCGAAAGGCCACAAUGAGGUCACUCUGGAACCUUCUCUUCUCCAACCUAAACAAGCCCAGUUCCCUCAACCUUUCUUCGAAGGAGAGGUGCUCCAGCCACCUGAUCAUCUCAGUGGCCCUCCUCUGGACCUUUUCCAAGAAGAAUAUCUGUUUAUAAUUUAUUGUUCACUGGUUACAGAGAAAUGUACUGUCAUACUGCAGUCAAAACAAGAACAAACCAUUGAGAAUUUCACAUAUGUGAUAAAGAAACAUUGUUUUGUCAAUCAUUCUGUGUUUGUUAAAAUUUAUUUGUCUUGAAAAUGAGCCAGAGGGCAUGAACCAUGUUAUCACCAGAUAAAUAAAUAGCUUUUAUUUACUGUUGGAUAAUUCCUG
rnacentral:lncRNA from 1 species